GAGGAAGGUAGAAUUCCCGGUGUAGCGGUGAAAUGCGUAGAGAUCGGGAGGAAUACCAGUGGCGAAGGCGGCCUUCUGGACUGACACUGACACUGAGGUGCGAAAGCGUGGGUAGCAAACAGGAUUAGAUACCCUGGUAGUCCACGCCGUAAACGAUGUCGACCAGCCGUUGGGUGCCUAGCGCACUUUGUGGCGAAGUUAACGCGAUAAGUACC
rnacentral:rRNA from 1 species